rnacentral:rRNA from 1 species
ACACAUGCAAGUCGAACGGCAGCGGGUAGGAAGCUUGCUUCCUAUGCCGGCGAGUGGCGGACGGGUGAGGAGCGCAUCGGAAUCUACUCCGUCGUGGGGGAUAACGUAGGGAAACUUACGCUAAUACCGCAUACGACCUAAGGGUGAAAGUGGGGGACCGCAAGGCCUCACGCGAUGGAAUGAGCCGAUGUCCGAUUAGCUAGUUGGCGGGGUAAAGGCCCACCAAGGCGACGAUCGGUAGCUGGUCUGAGAGGAUGAUCAGCCACACUGGGACUGAGACACGGCCCAGACUCCUACGGGAGGCAGCAGUGGGGAAUAUUGGACAAUGGGCGAAAGCCUGAUCCAGCCAUGCCGCGUGGGUGAAGAAGGCCUUCGGGUUGUAAAGCCCUUUUGUUGGGGAAGAAAUCCUGCUGGCUAAUACCCGGCGGGGAUGACGGUACCCAAAGAAUAAGCACCGGCUAACUUCGUGCCAGCAGCCGCGGUAAUACGAAGGGUGCAAGCGUUACUCGGAAUUACUGGGCGUAAAGCGUGCGUAGGUGGUGGCUUAAGUCCGUUGUGAAAGCCCUGGGCUCAACCUGGGAAUUGCAGUGGAUACUGGGUCACUAGAGUGUGGUAGAGGGUGGCGGAAUUCCCGGUGUAGCAGUGAA